AGCCAAUCAGAUGCACUGCUGAUAACUCUAUUACCCAAUCAAAAAACAAGUUUGACAAGCAGGUAUGGGCCACCAGCCAAUCAGAUGCACUGCUGAUAACUCUAUUACCCAAUCAAAAAACAAGUUUGACAAGCAGGUAUGGACCACCAGCCAAUCAGAUGCACUGCUGAUAACUCUAUUACCCAAUCAAAAAACAAGUUUGACAAGCAGGUAUGGACCACCAGCCAAUCAGAUGCACUGCUGAUAACUCUAUUACCCAAUCAAAAAACAAGUUUGACAAGCAGGUAUGGACUACCAGCCAAUCCGAUGCGCUGCUGAUGACUAU